CCGAAGCCGAAUCCCACAUGGGUGGAUGCUACUCUACUCUUAAGGCCAUUGAUUUUGGCCUUUCUGUUUUCUACAAACCAGAAGAUAGGAUUUGAAAUCCAAGGACGUCGCUCGAGUCAAGCACGGGUUGAUUUCAGCCGGCAUAGAAGGGAUCUAUAUAGAGACGCCAACCAAGAAUGGAUAUGGUUCACAAAGAUAUUGAUCUUCUUCUGGGUCAUCUGACGAGGGAUGGGGUGGAUCAGGAACUCAAAUCAGAGCUAAUGUAUAUGAGAACAAUUUUCAAGUUUCAAUAUUUCGUUUUUUCUGGUUACCUAGGAUUCUU